GUACUUGCUGCGGCUGUACACAUACUAAAAUUGGAAUGAUACUGAGAAGAUUAGUAUGGCCCCUGAGCAAGGAUGACGCGAAAAUUCGUGAAGUGUUCCGUAUAUAA